rnacentral:rRNA from 1 species
GAGACGCUGGCGGCGUGCCUAACACAUGCAAGUCGAGCGGAGUCGAUCGACGGAAGCCUUCGGGCGGAAGAUGGUUGACUUAGCGGCGGAUGGGUGAGUAACGCGUGGGCAACCUGCCUCGAAGACCGGGAUAACAGCCCGAAAGGGCUGCUAAUACCGGAUGUGGUCAAGGAUCCGCAUGGAUUUUUGAUUAAAGGGGAAACCCGUUUCGAGAUGGGCCCGCGUCCUAUCAGCUAGUUGGUGAGGUAAAAGCUCACCAAGGCGACGACGGGUAGCCGGCCUGAGAGGGUGACCGGCCACACUGGAACUGAGACACGGUCCAGACUCCUACGGGGGGCAGCAGUGGGGAAUCUUCCACAAUGGGCGAAAGCCUGAUGGAGCGACGCCGCGUGAGCGAAGAAGGCCUUCGGGUUGUAAAGCUCUGUCUGGAGGGACGAAGGAAGUGACGGUACCUCCGGAGGAAGCCACGGCUAACUACGUG